UACGUAGGGUGCAAGCGUUGUCCGGAUUUAUUGGGCGUAAAGAGCUCGUAGGCGGUCUGUCGCGUCGGCUGUGAAAUCCCGAGGCUCAACCUCGGGUCUGCAGUCGAUACGGGCAGACUAGAGUGCGGUAGGGGAGACUGGAAUUCCUGGUGUAGCGGUGAAAUGCGCAGAUAUCAGGAGGAACACCGGUGGCGAAGGCGGGUCUCUGGACCUGUCCUGACGCUCAGGCGCGAAAGCUAGGGGAGCAAACAGG
rnacentral:rRNA from 1 species